rnacentral:rRNA from 1 species
AGCGAACGCUGGCGGCAGGCUUAACACAUGCAAGUCGAACGCCCCGCAAGGGGAGUGGCAGACGGGUGAGUAACACGUGGGAACGCACCCUUUGGUUAGGAAUAACUUGGGGAAACUCAAGCUAAUACCGGAUAAGCCCUUAUGGGGAAAGGUUUACUGCCGAAGGAUCGGCCCGCGUCUGAUUAGCUAGUUGGUGAGGUAAUGGCUCACCAAGGCGACGAUCAGUAGCUGGUCUGAGAGGAUGAUCAGCCACACUGGGACUGAGACACGGCCCAGACUCCUACGGGAGGCAGCAGUGGGGAAUAUUGGACAAUGGGGGCAACCCUGAUCCAGCCAUGCCGCGUGAGUGAUGAAGGCCUUAGGGUUGUAAAGCUCUUUUACCCGGGACGAUAAUGACUGUACCGGGAGAAUAAGCCCCGGCUAACUUCGUGCCAGCCGCCGCAGUAA